CGGGGCUCUUCUUCAUGGCUGGAGCCGACCUCCGCUACUCCCACAUUAGAGUUAACCUGCCUGGUACAGGGGAUGGAGAUGCACCGGUUCAAGAGAAGUAGCACCCUAUUCAAAAGGCAUUUUGCGGCCAAAACCCAGUUGAGGAAAUCGACGAAGGAAGAGAGGCCUGCACCCCAUUCGCAGAGAAUCAAACACAGCGGUGAAAUUUAGGGCGGAAGCAAGUAUCUUCACAGAAACAUAAAAUUCUUUACAACUGAACAUCCCUGAAUACAAGGGAUAUGUAUUACUAUUUCUGUCUAUAAAUAUAUUUUAACCCUCA